rnacentral:tRNA from 1 species
GAAGGUGGCUCAGUGGUAGAGUGCUUGCUUUACAUGCAUGCAGUCUUGGGUUCGAUUCCUCAGCACCUCCU